CCAGUGUGAACUUCGGAAUCUAGAAAAGAACAAAAUUUUUUUUGGAUGUGUAUGUUCCAGCAAGUAGGAACAGAGUUCCCAUAAAAUGAAGCUAAGGUCACUGGCAGAGUGCAAUGGGUUAAACUGACAUGACCGGAAUUGGACAGUGAGCACUGCUGGCCCCAUCUCGGAAACGAGAGUGGACCAGGAGGAGUUUUCAGAGGAGUCUGUGAUAGGCGCUUUGUGACUCCAGGACACGUUGAGUAUACGUGAUUGAUGAAACCAAUGGUACAUCUGGAACACUGGCUGAAAUGAAGAAUGGAAAAUGUUAGCUUUCCAGGCCUCCUCAGGCCAGGAAGGCAUACUGGAGAGAUACGGCAGCAGAGUCACACAAGCAAGGCAGCUGGAUUUGUGACAAUGAGAGAAGCGCGGGGUCAAAGAACAUAGAGUGUUUUGAGAACAGUGUCUCCAGAUGAGAGGGAAGAGAACUGGCACAGGAAAGCAGAUGGAGGCAGAUAUGAGUCUCACUCUGGUGGAUUAUUGUUCCAAACAGUAGCAUGAAGUAUUCAUCCGACCAUUUCAGCCGUGAGCUUCCUCUCAACAUUGUGUGAUGACCCAGAUACUGAACUUUUGUCUUUUGCCUUUUACCCCAUUUUCUAGAAUAGACAAUGCACUUUCAACUCCAGGAUGAUCAUGCAGCCUCGGGGGUCAUCAAAUGAAUUGAUUUUUCUUGGCAAUUUUUUCCUAAUAAAGUACAGCUUUCAGGUUUUUUUUUUUCUAUUUCUUUUUAUGCCCCCAAAGGAAGGAUGCCAGAAGCAGCAUAACUUGUUCUUGUCAUGUUAGUGAAUUGUAGAAAUAUUAGCAUUCUGGAUAAGAAUGCCAUGGAAGCCAGGGGCCAAAAGCUCAGCAAUCCAUAUGGUUUGCAAUAUAUACCCUUAGGCAGGCCUCAUGGGUUGUGGUUGUUUAAAAGAAAAAGAACAAACAAAUACAAAACCAAACAAAAUCAGAGGGAGAAGUAAAAAGUAAUUUCUUGAGUGAGAAAUCAGGAUGGGGGAGUCUGCCCUUUAAAACUGAUCUCCUUUGUCUGCAGUGCCCCUAAACUUGUCACCCAAUUACUCAUGGAGGAAGUCUGCAUAGACCUACAUGGGCACCCUCACAGGAAGGCAAACUCAGAUCUAUUUCCGUAUCCACCUUGUAAUUAGUUUGUACAGGGGAAAUUACUGUGGACUAAUGGAGUAGCCUCUUUCCAUUUGUGGCUUCUCUGUUAGUUUUCAGCAGGGAAAGUGUGGGACAGAAAAUUUGCUUUGUAAAAACCACAUAAAACUUUUCAAGGUACUCUUAACUCCUAGCUCUCUUAGAAAAUUAAGGUUUCCUUCUCCUAAAAGUCUAUGUUAGCUUGUUUUCAAAUAAAGUUUUGAGUUAUGUUAUUCUCUCACUAAAACUUUACCAUCAAAGUAAUACUGAAUAUAGUCACUCCUUGUAGAUGUUAGGCUGUGAUAACAAUAAUAAUAAUCUUGCAUAGUUGAUUAUAAUUUCAACAAUGAAAACACUCAUUUUAUAUUAUUAAGAUAUGAACUUAAAAUUGUACAAAUUGUAUUACAGUCUAAAUUUAUGUGAGACAGAGAAAAUAACAUUCUCAGAUGUUUUAUAAGAGACCAUUGACUAAUAAUACUUAAGUUCAAUUAUUUAAUCAUGUGCCUAUGAAGUUUAUCUAAACCUAUUUAUAAAACUCAUCUAUAUAUUAGUAUAUUAAUGCUUUGCUUACUUCUAAUUUUUAUUUUUUAUUUUAUUUUACUUUUUGAGACAAAGUCUGGCUCUGUCACCCAGGCUGGAAUGUAGUGGCACUAUCUUGGCUCACUGCAACCUCCCCAUCCUGGGCGCAUGUGAUCCUGAUCCUCCCACCUCCGCCUCCUGAGUAGCUGGGACCACAGUUGUGCUCCAGUAUGCCCAGCUAAUUUUGUACUUUUGGUAGAGAUGGGGUUUCACUGUGUUGUCCAGGCUGGUCUUGAACUACUGCACGCAAGUGAUCCACCAGCCUCGACUUCCCAAAGUGCUAGAAUGACAGGCAUGAGCCACUGUGCCGGCCCGAUACUUUGCUUACUUCUAAGGAUUAAUUUUAUGUGAUGAUUCUUUGCUAACAAUGAAGUUUUUUUGUUUUGUUUUGUUUUUUGUUUUUUGGUUUUUUUUAGUUCUACUGCAUAGUGUGGUAAAUACAGUUUAUAGAGUAUUGAACAUUUCCAAAUGGCUAAAAGAGUAAAUUUUAAAUGUUCUCACUAAAAAAAUGCUAAGUAUUUAAGGUGAUGGAUAUGUUAAGCAGCUUGAUUUAAUUUUUAUUCCACAUUAUACUCAUAAAUCAUAACAUUACUUUGUACCCCGUAUAUUUAUACAGCUAUAGAU
rnacentral:lncRNA from 1 species